GCCCGCAUCCGGCCUGCCCGCCCCGUGCUCCGCAGCCCCCGCGCGGCCGGCGGGACGCGGGGGCUCGCGAAAGGCUCCUAGCGCCCCAGGCCGAGAACUCCCGCGAACUGCGUUGGGACCCACCCUCGCAGUAGCGCCCUGCGCGGCCCUCCUCCGCCAGCGAGCCCCAAUUUCAACCCGCGAGGAGCCCAGGGGUGCGCUCGAGCGGAGAAGGGGAGAGGAGAGAGGAUGCUGAAGGCUGGUGGAGGAGAGAGAUUAAAUUCCAAGGCAGCCCACCGCCAGUCGCUGCAAAAGAUGACCUUGAGCUGGCCGGAAAGCAAGGGCGCAAGGUAGUUCCUCUGAGGGUGUAAGAAAAGCCGAAGAAAGAAAGUUCGCGCCCUCGGGCGUUGGAGGAUCUAGGAGGGGGAGGUAGGCUUUCCUUGGCCUCCGGUGGAAUCUUCCUGUGUCCUGGUGGCCUGUUUGCUUCUCCCUCUGAUUGGGGUUUUUGCCUUGGGAAAGUUUCAGUGUUCCUAGAGGAGCUGUCCUCCUCCCGAGUGCUGAUUAGGGAGAAGAAGGAGCCUGCCUGCUCCAAGACUGGGCAGGCAACAGUGGAAGACGGGCCUGAACAUGUCAAGGAGCAGCGGGCUUUUAAGGCUGCAAGGGUCGGAUAGGAAGGGGCUACCACUAUGUGCCACUGAGGCAGAAGGAGGCAAAAGCAUAUUUUUCCGUGCUGGAACUGAGAUUUACAGCACAAUGCACGGUCUCAUUCGCAGCCACCCUUUUAAUACCUAUCUCUUUCUUCCCCCCGGAGAAAGACAUGAAUUCAGAGACUGAAACUUUCCAACGAAAGUAAUUCAAGGACUCAAAAGCAAUGUACUUCAUAGCAAUGAGCACAGCUGGAUCCCAGACAUGGUUUCUAAAUCCUACUGUCCACUGAAAAGAAGCAAAGAUCCUUGGGAAAUGACUCCUGGUUUGCAGGGAAACCAGGAGGUGAAACUGGAAUGUCCUGAUGUGCCAGAAAAUGAGGAGCAGUUCAAAGACUGAUGCAGUCAAAAGGACAAAGGAACCAGCUCUAAGUGAUUGCCCAUGGAUCAAAUAUAUGAAAAUUUGAGUCUCAAAAAGAAUAAUUACAAUAAUCAAUAACAAUAUAUUGGAUAAAGUGAAACAUCAUAGUCUGCAAUAUGUUCAAAAAAUGUAAACUAAUUUUUUUCAGAACAAUAUAGUACAGCAAGUGUAGAAGAAAUGAUAGAAUUAGAAAUUCAUUUUGAAAUGUCUGAUGCAAUAACUAAAGAUCAUUAAUGGGUACUAAAACCAUUGGAUGGAAGGUUGUUGUGAAAGUGAUAUUCAUACAAUCUCAAAAUAUUACUCCAUAUUAUUAGUUACCAGUUUAGAAGGGAAAAGUGCAGCUGGGUGUGGUGGCACACUCUUGUAUUCGCAGCGCUCUGGAAGGUUGAGGCAAGAGGAUUGUAAUUUCAAGCUGAGUGUGGGCUCUUAGCAAAAGCCUGUCUCAAGAUAAAAAAUUAGUUAAUGAGUCCUUGACUGAUCAAUAUUGCAUGUCUCUAUUUGUUUUCAUGAGAAACCACUUUGAAGAUAUCAAUAUGUAAUACAACAAGCAUUGUUAAUUUCCUACCACUUUGUCUGUAACUCUGUAUUGUCUGUACUGUUCUUUUGCUAUUUUGUAAAAGGUUGUCUGUCUGUUAAUGUUUUCCUCCUUUUAUUUUUAAAAUAAAAAUAAAUAAAUAAAUAAAAAUUAAAAAGGGCUGUGGGGCUGGGGAUAUAGCUCAGUGGCACAAGCACCUGCCUGGCAAGUGCAAGGUCAUGAGUUUGAUUCCCAGCAAACCCCCCCCCAAAAAAAAGGGCUGUGGAUGUGACUCACUGCAAAGGGCUUGGGUUCCAUCCCCAUUGCUAGGACACUUAACACACACACACACACACACACACACACACACACUGAAAAAGUGCACUUUUAUAAUGCAUAAUUUACAUAAUGACUACCUUAAUCAAUGAAAUGAUCAAACUUGGAAUCACUAAUAAUUUACCAAUGUUUCAUAUGCCUCCUAAUGUGACUUGUUAAGUACACAUAUCACCUGUGGAGUAUACUUGACAAACAUUUAGCCUAAAUCACAUAAGGAAACAAAUCAGACAAAUUUAAAUGGAGGGCCGGGUAUGGUAGCACACACCUGUUAUCCCAGAACUCGGGAGGCUGAGGCAGGAGGAUCGUUACAAGUUCAGGGGCAUCUUGGGCUACAAAGUGAGCUCAAGGCCAGCCUGCACUGCAUAUUGAGACCCU
rnacentral:lncRNA from 1 species